GAUCAUGGCUCAGGACGAACGCUGGCGGCGUGCCUAACACAUGCAAGUCGAACGGAGAAUUUUAUUUCGGUAGAAUUCUUAGUGGCGAACGGGUGAGUAACGCGUAGGCAACCUGCCCUUUAGACGGGGACAACAUUCCGAAAGGAGUGCUAAUACCGGAUGUGAUCAUCGUGCCGCAUGGCAGGAUGAAGAAAGAUGGCCUCUACAAGUUAAGCUAUCGCUAAAGGAUGGGCCUGCGU
rnacentral:rRNA from 1 species